UAAUAAGUGUUUUAUGGCACUUUUUAAAUCCAUAUCCACCUCGUGUGCGAUGUCGGUCGAUCUUCUUUUUUUGAGGAUCGACCAAACAUCAACCUUUAUCUUUUAACUCUUUGUCUGAAAAAUAUUACGAAUAAACAAUUCAAAAUA
rnacentral:misc_RNA from 1 species